rnacentral:lncRNA from 1 species
AUGGAAGUGUUCUGUGAAGCCUAACUCGGUUCCUGAACAAGCAGCGAGGUACCAGCUGCAGUGUAUGCAUGACAGGCUGGAAGGACCCUGCUACUGCAAGGCAGGCGGCAGAACCACUGAGCCAAACCCCGGCCCCUGACAGGAUUUUCUCUUCAGAUCUACCAUGCAGACCUCCUCAUCUGUCAAGGACUACUCCCUCCCCAGCCCUGAGGCUGACCGUGGAUCUCUCAGAAUAAAGGCCAAAGUCCUGCAGUGCCAUCAGACCCACGUGUCUUAGCUCCUUCCUCCCCUCCCCCUGCCAGCCUCUGAGCUCCAGCAAGAGGAUCUCCCUGCAGUCCCUCGCCAGAGGUACCCUGCAGUGCUUCGACUCUGCUUGACACACCACUUCGGUGAGUGCUAGCUUACUUACCACCUCCUCCAAGAAGCUACAAGAUGAGAUGCACAAGCCUGACCUGGAGGCU